rnacentral:rRNA from 1 species
UACGAAGGGGGCUAGCGUUGUUCGGAAUUACUGGGCGUAAAGGGCGCGUAGGCGGCGUGUCAAGUCAGGCGUGAAAGCCCCGGGCUCAACCUGGGAACCGCGCUUGAGACUGGCAUGCUCGAGUUCGGGAGAGGAUGGUGGGAAUUCCCAGUGUAGAGGUGAAAUUCGUAGAUAUUGGGAAGAACACCGGUGGCGAAGGCGGGUCUCUGGGCCGAUACUGACGCUGAGGAGCGAAAGCGUGGGGAGCGAACAGG